CUGAUUAUUACCAUCAUUCCUGGAAUGGUGGGUUAGCGCGCGACCGCAACAGUCACAGCCACCCGCCCCAAGAGGCGGGUUUU
rnacentral:sRNA from 19 species